UCUGGGAGUGCUCUGUGAGUUUGCGCAGUCGAUGGAAGCUGACUGGUGGAGAUGAGCGGUCGAUAGAGGCUCGAUCUGGACCGUUGGAUUGGUCCAGAUCCGAUGGUUCUCGUGCUGAAGGGCAACGCUUGCUAGGAAGAAA